rnacentral:lncRNA from 1 species
UAAAAACCUGCAGAGAAAUGUUUCCUCGCCUCUCCCUUCCUGGCCUCCUGUGGCUAAACCCCACCUCUGCUGCAGAGGAUGUCAUACAAGAGUGAACAAGACCGAAGACUUUGGAGGUAUACAGACCAGCAAGGUUCAACUCCUACUCCUGCACUUUCUACUUUUGCAGGGUUAGGUGAAUCCUCUCUCCAAGCUCUGUAUCCUUAUCAGUAGAAUAAGGAUAAACAUACCUGCCUUGCAGGGCUGUUUGAAGAAUAACUGAGAAAAACACAAACAGUCUGUGAUCACUCACACAACUCCAGGUACUAUCAGAACUGAAAUCUAAGUCCUCUGAUUGCCAACCAGUUCCCCUUUUCCCAUUUGAAGAUGCGUUUGUACCUCCCUUCUAAUUGAGGUCCCUCCUGUCCUCACUUCCUACUCGGAGGUGGUAUUUUCCAGACUCCCAGACAGACAUGCCCAUGUGAGGGAUGCAAGCCUAACUUUGAGCAGCGCUGAUGGCCAAUCACCAACACAAGCAUGAAAUUCUGUGGUGGGGCAGCUUGUCAGUAAUUUGAAAACCCGUGAAGACGCUGGAAAUGGAAGAUUGUUGUGUGCUCUGCAGAGUAGAAAGGGAAGAGCUUCUAUUCCUGAUGUUGGCAGAAAGAACCGCAGGGGCCAUGCUGGCUCCGGGAGAAAUGGGGCGUCAUCUGGAGACCAGUCAACACUCAUUCGCCACCUCCAGUCUCUAAACAAGAUGGAAACUGGCAGCCCUCAAACAUGUUUCACUUGGCCCACACAUUGGUUUUGAAAAUUCAUAU